UCAACACGCGAUUUACCCUUGAAUCUAACCACGAUAAUGCUAACUACCCCUAUUUCAAACACCGUCUCGGGAUCCGCCCU